GGACCCGCACAAGCGGUGGAGCAUGUGGUUUAAUUCGAUGCAACGCGAAGAACCUUACCUGGUCUUGACAUCCUGCGAACUUUCUAGAAAUAGAUUGGUGCCUUCGGGAACGCAGUGACAGGUGCUGCAUGGCUGUCGUCAGCUCGUGUCGUGAGAUGUUGGGUUAAGUCCCGUAACGAGCGCAACCCCUAUCCUUAUUUGCCAGCACAUUAUGGUGGGAACUAUAAGGGGACUGCCGGUGAUAAACCGGAGGAAGGUGAGGACGACGUCAAGUCAUCAUGGCCCUUACGAGUAGGGCUACACACGUGCUACAAUGGUCGGUACAGAGGGCAGCUACCGGGUGACCGGAUGCG
rnacentral:rRNA from 1 species